rnacentral:rRNA from 1 species
GAUGAACGCUGGCGGCGUGCCUAAUACAUGCAAGUCGAGCGAACAGACGAGGAGCUUGCUCCUCUGACGUUAGCGGCGGACGGGUGAGUAACACGUGGAUAACCUACCUAUAAGACUGGGAUAACUUCGGGAAACCGGAGCUAAUACCGGAUAAUAUAUUGAACCGCAUGGUUCAAUAGUUAAAGACGGUUUUGCUGUCACUUAUAGAUGGAUCCGCGCCGCAUUAUCUAGUUGGUAAGGUAACGGCUUACCACGGCAACGAUGCGUAGCCGACCUGAGAGGGUGAUCGGCCACACUGGAACUGAGACACGGUCCAGACUCCUACGGGAGGCAGCAGUAGGGAAUCUUCCGCAAUGGGCGAAAGCCUGACGGAGCAACGCCGCGUGAGUGAUGAAGGUCUUCGGAUCGUAAAACUCUGUUAUUAGGGAAGAACAAAUGUGUAAGUAACUAUGCACGUCUUGACGGUACCUAAUCAGAAAGCCACGGCUAACUACGUG